rnacentral:siRNA from 1 species
UCAUGUGCUGAUGUGUCAAGUUGU